rnacentral:lncRNA from 1 species
GGCUUCCCGUCUCCAGAGUCACUGCAGUCUCUGUCUCUGGGCUCCGAGUGGGAACCUCUGAGAAAGGCGGAAUCCGGGAGAAAUCUUUCUAGGAGCAGUGUGAGGAGGACAGACGAGCCCUCUGGACUGGCAAGGCCACCGGCCAAGUACUGCUGCCACCAUGCCCAAGAGAAAGGCAAAAGGAGAUGCUAAAGGUGACAAAGCAAAGGUGAAGGAUGAGCCACAGAGGAGAUCAGCACGGUUGUCCGCUAAACCUGCCCCCCCAAAACCAGAGCCCAGGCCUAAAAAGGCCCCUGCAAAGAAGGGAGAGAAGCUGCCCAAAGGGAGAAAGGGGAAAGCAGAUAGUGGCAAGGAUGGGAACAACCCUGCGAAAAACCGAGAUGCCGCCACAGUCCAGUCACAGAAAGCGGAAGGCAGCGGGGAUGCCAAGUGAAGUGUGCUAUUUUGAUAGCUCUGUACUUCUAGUGACUCUGCUGUUUGAAAUACUGUUUUUUUUCAAAUCAACUUUUAUAAAAAUGUAGAAUUUUGUUUUUCUUUUUAAGUUAUAUUGUUAGCACACAGGACACUUAGUUGUCUUUUGUGGAAAGGGCAAAUACCACUAACAGAGUGUUUCAGAAGCUGGAUUAAAAUGGAGGAAAAUAGUAUUUUCUGUCCUCAUUUUUGAAGAUUAUUCUUGGUCCCCGGGAGAGAUUCUCUGACAUUCACACACGAGUCAGUCACUUUGGCUCAGACGCCUUACAGUGUGUGGAAGCAAAACUUCAUGUCUUUGCCUUUCCUGAUACCAUCAGCAUAUAUUUGACUUUCUGAACCCAAGAGUUAUGGUUUCAGAAAACCAGCAUCCCUAAAAUCAGCUGUGUUGGGUAAUAAUCCUCAGGCCUUCUGAUGAAGACAUCGACAUGGUGUUGCUCAAAAGAGCCAAGAUUCCUGUUUGCAAUUUGUGGAUCAUCCCAUUGAUAAUCCUGGAGUUUGUAGUUUUCUCCAAGUCAGAAAUGACCUGUGAAAAGCUCUUACAUGCCUCAUGUGAAAUAUCCACCCCUUCUGACAACUUUGCCUGUUCAAAGCAGGAACAGAAGACUUUGUUGACUUUUUGGGGAGGGGUGUUUGGAAGUUGUAAAAUGUUAUGGAUUGUCACCUAUGUCCUGCUGGAAAUAACUGUUUUUGAAAAGUAUCUUAUGGAGCUGUAUACAAGUUGGCUUGGUGGAAGGGGGGGAUCAUUUCCUACCCAAAGUCAUAAAGAUAUUCUUUACUGCCUUGUAAAAGUUUUACAGUUUUGCUUUUCAUACGUCUUUAGUCUUUAGAACUGGUUUUUGUGAAAAGUAUGAGAUAGAAGUUCAAUAUAAUAUAUUUUCCAUAUAGAUAAGUGGUUGUUGCAGCACCAUUUUCUGAAAAGUUCAUCCUUUCCUCACUGACCUGUAACACUGUCUCUUUCAUAAAUCAAGUUUGUGUGUUUGUGUGGGUCUCUUGAUGGUUUCUGUUCUGACUCACUGGUCAAUUUGUCUAACCUGUGGCAGUACUAUACAAUCCUGAGUAUGACAACUUUAGAAAAAGGUCUUGAUAUCUCAGGACAAAUCCCACCUCCACCUCCAACAUCAUCACCAAAUUUUUCUUCCUUGAGAGUAUCUUGGCUAUUUUUAGCCAUUUGCUUUUCCAUACAAUUUCUAGAAUUAGAUUGAGAAGUUCUAAAUCAAACAAAAAAAAUGUUGGAAUUUUUAUUAGAUUUAUGGAUUAAUUACAGUGUUGAAUCUUCCAAUCCAUGAACAUGGUAUAGCAUUUAUUUAGGCUUUUUAAAUGUCUUUCAAUAAAGUUUUAUAAUUUUCUCCAUAAAUGUCUUCUUUUGUUAAUAUUUCCUGGGGACUUUAUACCUUUUGAUGCUCUUUUAUGUGGUAUAUUUUAGUUACUACAUUUUCUGGUUUUAGCUAAAGUUGAUUUUUGUAUCCAGCAACCUUGCUAAACUCUCAAUUCUUAUAUGUCUGUAUACUUCUUUGGGUUUUCUGCCUAGAUAACCAUAUAUUCUGUGUAUGCAAACAAUUUUUUUUCCUCAC